AGUGAACGCUGGCGGUAGGCCUACACAUGCCAGUCGAACGGCAGCACAGUAAGAGCUUGCUCUUACGGGUGGCGAGUGGCGGACGGGUGAGGAAUACAUCGGAAUCUACUUUUUCGUGGGGGAUAACGUAGGGAAACUUACGCUAAUACCGCAUACGACCUACGGGUGAAAGCAGGGGAUCUUCGGACCUUGCGCGAUUGAAUGAGCCGAUGUCGGAUUAGCUAGUUGGCGGGGUAAAGGCCCACCAAGGCGACGAUCCGUAGCUGGUCUGAGAGGAUGAUCAGCCACACUGGAACUGAGACACGGUCCAGACUCCUACGGGAGGCAGCAGUGGGGAAUAUUGGACAAUGGGCGCAAGCCUGAUCCAGCCAUACCGCGUGGGUGAAGAAGGCCUUCGGGUUGUAAAGCCCUUUUGUUGGGAAAGAAAAGCAGCAGGUUAAUACCCCGCUGUUCUGACGGUACCCAAAGAAUAAGCACCGGCUAACUUCGUG
rnacentral:rRNA from 1 species